rnacentral:misc_RNA from 1 species
GUUCGUACUUGCAGAACCCUCCACGACUCGCGAUAAACGGCAGCGCAGCACUGUGUCGAGUGUCGAGUGUCGAGUCCAGCGUAGCAGUCAUAAGCCAGUCGAGUUAUUAAAUGUUGCUGAAAACGCAGUCAACAGAAUAUUAAACCCAAAAUCCAACUGUUUGUUUACCCUGUAAAAUUCAAGAAAAAUAGUACGCGUUUCUUUACUUAUUUGCAAGCCCACCAUUGGGCCAUUUCAAACUGGCACAUCAAUUUUGGUUUUCCUAUCCGCCACCUGGCGCUGGCGGCGGCUCCUCAACAAAAAGCAAAGAAAAAAAAAAACAUGCGAAAAUAAAUUAAUAUCUAAAUUCAAAUAACGCAAAUGCAAAACCUCCUCCCCCCUCCAAAAAAGAAAACCAAUUCAAUUUAAAAGCAACAACAAACAAGCAAAUCAAAUACGUAAUUAA